rnacentral:rRNA from 1 species
UACGGAGGGUGCGAGCGUUGUCCGGAAUCACUGGGCGUAAAGGGCGCGUAGGCGGCUUGGGAAGUCCGUGGUGAAAGCUCGAGGCUCAACUUCGAGUCGGCCAAGGACACUCCUAAGCUCGAGUCGACUAGAGGCAGAUGGAAUUCCGGGUGUAGCGGUGGAAUGCGUAGAGAUCCGGAAGAACACCGGUGGCGAAGGCGGUCUGCUGGGGUCGAACUGACGCUGAGGCGCGACAGCGUGGGGAGCAAACAGG